rnacentral:rRNA from 1 species
GACGAACGCUGGCGGCGUGCUUAACACAUGCAAGUCGAACGAUGAACCCGGAGCUUGCUCCGGUGGAUUAGUGGCGAACGAGUGAGUAACACGUGAGUAACCUGCCCUUGACUCUGGGAUAACUGCGGGAAACUGUAGCUAAUACCGGAUACGACCCUCGGCGGCAUCGCCAGGGGGUGGAAAGAAUUUCGGUCAAGGAUGGACUCGCGGCCUAUCAGCUAGUUGGUGAGGUAACGGCUCACCGAGGCGACGACGGGUAGCCGGCCUGAGAGGGUGACCGGCCACACUGGGACUGAGACACGGCCCAGACUCCUACGGGAGGCAGCAGUGGGGAAUAUUGCACAAUGGGCGCAAGCCUGAUGCAGCAACGCCGCGUGAGGGGUGACGGCCUUCGGGUUGUAAACCUCUUUUAGUAGGGAAGAAGCGAAAGUGACGGUACCUGCAGAAAAAGCACCGGCUAACUACGUGCCAGCAGCCGCCGUAA